UGGGGAAUUUUGGACAAUGGGCGCAAGCCUGAUCCAGCCAUGCCGCGUGCGGGAAGAAGGCCUUCGGGUUGUAAACCGCUUUUGUCAGGGAAGAAAUCUUCUGAGUUAAUACCUCGGGAGGAUGACGGUACCUGAAGAAUAAGCACCGGCUAACUACGUGCCAGCAGCCGCGGUAAUACGUAGGGUGCAAGCGUUAAUCGGAAUUACUGGGCGUAAAGCGUGCGCAGGCGGUUUUGUAAGACAGAGGUGAAAUCCCCGGGCUCAACCUGGGAACUGCCUUUGUGACUGCAAGGCUUGAGUGCGGCAGAGGGGGAUGGAAUUCCGCGUGUAGCAGUGAAAUGCGUAGAUAUGCGGAGGAACACCGAUGGCGAAGGCAAUCCCCUGGGCCUGCACUGACGCUCAUGCACGAAAAGCGUGGGGAGCAAAACAGGAUUAGAUACCCUGGUAGUCCACGCCCUAAACGAUGUCAACUGGUUGUUGGGAAGGUUCCUCCUCAGUAACGUAGCUAACGCGUGAAGUUGACCGCCUGGGGAGUACGGCCGC
rnacentral:rRNA from 1 species